UGGUAAAAAGAGGAUUUGAACCUCUGUCAUUGGAACUACAAACCACCGCCUGCUCUCUGGGCUAU
rnacentral:tRNA from 1 species